rnacentral:rRNA from 1 species
UGGGGAAUUUUGGACAAUGGGCGAAAGCCUGAUCCAGCAAUGCCGCGUGUGUGAAGGAGGCCUUCGGGUUGUAAAGCACUUUUGUCCGGAAAGAAAUCCUUGGCUCUAAUACAGUCGGGGGAUGACGGUACCGGAAGAAUAAGCACCGGCUAACUACGUGCCAGCAGCCGCGGUAAUACGUAGGGUGCAAGCGUUAAUCGGAAUUACUGGGCGUAAAGCGUGCGCAGGCGGUUUGCUAAGACCGAUGUGAAAUCCCCGGGCUCAACCUGGGAACUGCAUUGGUGACUGGCAGGCUAGAGUAUGGCAGAGGGGGGUAGAAUUCCACGUGUAGCAGUGAAAUGCGUAGAGAUGUGGAGGAAUACCGAUGGCGAAGGCAGCCCCCUGGGCCAAUACUGACGCUCAUGCACGAAAAGCGUGGGGAGCAAAACAGGAUUAGAUACCCUGGUAGUCCACGCCCUAAAACGAUGUCAACUAGUUGUUGGGGAUUCAUUUCCUUAGUAACGUAGCUAACGCGUGAAGUUGACCGCCUGGGGAGUACGGUCGCAAGAUUAAAACUCAAAUGAAUUGACGGGGUCAUAGCUGUUUCCU